rnacentral:lncRNA from 1 species
AAAACUAGGCAUCAGUCACCAUUUAAGAAAACUUACAGAAGUGGUGCCCCAUCCAGCAACCCAGACAGCCUGGUUGUCAGCGAGGUUGUAGUUGGGGCCAGCGAUGGAAGCAGCGCGAACAUUGUUGUUGAAGGUGAAGGUGGUAGCGGAACGUACGAUGGCGACGUCAUUGUCAUUGUUCGUAUAGUUGUAUGAGGGGUGGAUGAUGUUGGCGUCUAAGUUGUGUACGACACCACCGCUGUUGGCCCAGGUGGAGCCAACACGGAUACGCCAUCGGUUGUUCGGGUAACCACUGCAAAACGAAUUAUUAAGCAGUGUGCCUUUUAACAGAAACUGUAUUGCUAAAUUCAGAUUUUGCUCUUGAUACACUUACUCGGUGCAGCUAGCAGCGGUGAGGAUAGCCCUGUUGUUGAGGAUGGCACCCACGCAAGCCUGCCAGUAGGUGUUGAAGUCGAAUGAGUACAGCAGACCGGCGAGAGUGGGGUAACUGUCAAUAGUA